GGGGAAUAUUGGACAAUGGGCGCAAGCCUGAUCCAGCAAUGCCGCGUGUGUGAAGAAGGCCUUCGGGUUGUAAAGCACUUUUAUCAGGAACGAAAAGCGUUGGAUUAAUACUCUGACGUGCUGACGGUACCUGAGGAAUAAGCACCGGCUAACUUCGUGCCAGCAGCCGCGGUAAUACGAAGGGUGCAAGCGUUAAUCGGAAUUACUGGGCGUAAAGCGUGCGUAGAUGGUUCGCUAAGUCGGAUGUGAAAGCCCCGGGCUCAACCUGGGAACUGCAUCCGAUACUGGCGGACUAGAGUGUGAUAGAGGAUGGCGGAAUUCCCGGUGUAGCGGUGAAAUGCGUAGAGAUCGGGAGGAACAUCCGUGGCGAAGGCGGCCAUCUGGAUCAACACUGACGUUGAGGCACGAAAGCGUGGGGAGCAAAC
rnacentral:rRNA from 1 species